CUUGGCCGUCCUGCACUUUUCUUCCUGGGUUCUCUCUCUUUCCCUCCCUAGAAGCCAGUGCGCAGCAGCCUGGCAGGGAGGCCGGCUGGUAUCCAGGCCAUUUCCUGCCCCCAGGGGCCACCCACCAUGUCCGAUCCUGCCGCCUUCCUUGCCCUCCACCCUCCUUGCCCUCCACCCUCGCAGGCAUGACCUCACCCGCAGCCGGGAAGCUGGGCUCGGUUUCCCGCCUGCUGUUUACCCUGGCGCAGCAACAGGCCUGAUCUUCGGACCAGAAGGAGGUUAAAAACAUGCUGCUCAACACAGCUGUGCUGCCAGUUGCAAGGAGCCUCAUUCUAGAUCUUUCCUGAGCCUGAUGGAUUUACAGUGAUGUCCAAAUCUCCUGGGGAAUAAGGAGACCACUGGUGGAAGCUCGCCCUGGAAUUACACACACCUGGCACAUUUUAGGAUGGUACAAGGGAUUUUAAGGAAGACCCCUGGCAGAGGGCUCCGUGGUUUCUUCCAGCCUGGAUGCCUUCAGGGGAUGCACAGAGGACCUCAGCUGCCAGCUCCCUCUGGCUCCCUCUGAAACAAUCUGGCUACACCUGGGAUCUAAGUGCUUUUCGUCUGAGAAAAUGCAUCUCUAUUCAGCCCCUCGGGACUUCCCCGAAGGAAAGAUAGGAUAUUUGAGGUAAGGGAUGUUCUCCUGAGCCUGGUGGGAGCAAAUGUGACUUUC
rnacentral:lncRNA from 1 species